rnacentral:rRNA from 1 species
AUAUCUCGGCUCUCGCAUCGAUGAAGAACGUAGCGAAAUGCGAUACUUGGUGUGAAUUGCAGAAUCCCGUGAACCAUCGAGUUUUUGAACGCAAGUUGCGCCCAAAGCCAUUAGGCUAAGGGCACGUCUGCCUGGGCGUCACGCAUCACGUCGCCCCCAAC